UACGUAGGGUCCGAGCGUUGUCCGGAUUUAUUGGGCGUAAAGAGCUCGUAGGCGGUUUGGUGAGUCGGGUGUGAAAUCUCCACGCUCAACGUGGAGGGGCCACCCGAUACUGCCAUGACUAGAGUCCGGUAGGGGAGUGUGGAAUUCCCGGUGUAGCGGUGAAAUGCGCAGAUAUCAGGAAGAACACCUAUGGCGAAGGCAGCUCUCUGGGACGGUACUGACGCUGAGACGCGAAAGCGUGGGGAGCGAACAGG
rnacentral:rRNA from 1 species